rnacentral:tRNA from 1 species
GGCGGUAUAGCUCAACUGGAUAGAGCAACGGACUUCUAAUCCGUAGGUCGCAGGUUCAAAUCCUGCUACCGUCA